rnacentral:rRNA from 1 species
GACGAACGCUGGCGGCGUGCUUAACACAUGCAAGUCGAGCGGUGAACCGGAGCUUGCUCCGGGGAUCAGCGGCGAACGGGUGAGUAACACGUGGGCAACCUGCCCUCAGCUCUGGGAUAACUCCGGGAAACCGGGGCUAAUACCGGAUACGACUUCCUGCGGCAUCACGGGAAGUGGAAAGUUUUUCGGCUGAGGAUGGGCCCGCGGCCUAUCAGCUUGUUGGUGGGGUAACGGCCCACCAAGGCGACGACGGGUAGCCGGCCUGAGAGGGCGACCGGCCACACUGGGACUGAGACACGGCCCAGACUCCUACGGGAGGCAGCAGUGGGGAAUAUUGCGCAAUGGGCGAAAGCCUGACGCAGCGACGCCGCGUGAGGGAUGAAGGCC